CUACGGGGUGCUCCAGGCGCGAAACCUUUACAAUGCACGAAAGUGUGAUAAGGGGAUCCUAAGUGCUCAUGCUUCGGUAUGGGCUUUUUUCAAGAGUAAAUAUCUUGGAGAAUAAGUGGUGGGUAAGACUGGUGCCAGCCGCCGCGGUAACACCAGCGCCACAAGUGGCAACCGUGUUUAUUGGGCCUAAAGCGUCCGUAGCCGGUUGAAUAAAUCUUUUGUGAAAUCGUCAGGCUUAACUUGACGGCAGGCAGAAGACACUAUUCAACUCGAGACCGGGAGGGGUCAAAGGUAUUCCUGAGGGAGCGGUAAAAUGUGAUAAUCUCAGGAGGAUCACCUAUGGCGAAGGCAUUUGACCAGAACGGUUCUGACGGUGAGGGACGAAGGCUGGGGGAGCGAUCCGGAUUAGAUACCCGGGUAGUC
rnacentral:rRNA from 1 species